GAAUUGCGAAAAGUAAUGUGAAUUGCAGAAUUCCGAGAAUCAUCGAAUCUUUGAACGCAACUUGCGCGCCCCGUGUAAGCGGGGGGCAUGGCUGUUUGAGGGUCACGCUAUGAUUCGCGUGCACGGUGCGUGAGCACCGGGCGGGCGGGAGUGGGCUGACCGAGAGGGAGCUUCUCUUCCGGCAGCUUGAAAUGCAUGGCAGGCAGUGCCGUGUGGGUGACACAUUGACCGGCGUAGUAGUUCUCUGAGGAGAUUUCACACCGCGCAGGGUCAGUGUGGCGCGCAUGCGGAGCAGCGUGCGGGAGCGAGUACAUUGGUGGAGGGGAGCAACACCCCCCACCCACAAUGUGACCUCAAAUCAGCCAAGAUUACCCGCUGGAUUUAA
rnacentral:misc_RNA from 1 species